GCCAUAUGACGUUGAAAACAUCGGUUCCCGUACGAUCACCGAAGUUAAGCAACGUCGAGCCUUGUCAGUACCAAGAUGGUUGACUGCUUUGUAAUAUCCGAGGCUGUAA